rnacentral:rRNA from 1 species
UACGAACGCUGGCGGCGUGCUUAACACAUGCAAGUCGAACGAUGAAACCUAGCUUGCUAGGUCGAUUAGUGGCGAACGUGUGAGUAACACGUGACUAACCUGCCCCUUUCUCUGUGAUAACGCUCCGCAAGGAGUUCUCAUACCGGAUACUCACACCUAGGCACAUUCCUUGGUGUGGAAAUUUUUGCGGCAAGGGAUGGAGUCGCGGCCUAUCAGCUUGUUGGCGAGGUAACGGCUCCACAAGGCGACGACGGGUAGCCGGCCUGAGAGGGGGACCGGCCACACUGGGACUGAGACACGGCCCAGACUCCUACGGGAGGCAGCAGUGGGGAAUAUUGCACAAUGGGCGCAAGCCUGAUGCAGCGACGCCGCGUGAGGGAUGAAGGUCUUCGGAUUGUAAACCUCUUUCAGUAGGGACGAAGCGAAAGUGACGGUACCUAAAGAAGAAGCACCGGCUAACUACGUGCCAGCAGCCGCAGUAA